rnacentral:rRNA from 1 species
GGUUGAUCCUGCCGGACCCCACUGCUAUCGGCAUAUGACUAAGACAUGCCAGUCGAGCGCACUCAAGCUAACAUGAGAGCGCGGCAUACAGCUCAGUAACACGUGGCUAACCUGCCCUCGGGACGGAGACAACCCCGGGAAACUGGGGCUAAUCCCCGAUAGGCGAAGAACUCUGGAAUGAGUCUCCGCCCAAAAGACGCUUACGCCAUGCUCGUAGGCGCCGCCCAAGGAUGGGGCCGCGUCCGAUCAGGUUGUUGGUGAGGUAACGGCUCACCAAGCCUUUUACCGGUGCGGGCCGUGAGAGCGGGAGCCCGGAGAUGGGCACUGAGACAAGGGCCCAGGCCCUACGGGGCGCAGCAGUCGCGAAAACUUUGCAAUACACGAAAGUGUGACAGGGCUAUCCCGAGUGCCAUCCGCUGAGGAAGGCUUUUACCCAGUAUAGACAGCUGGGAGAAUAAGGAGAGGGCAAGACUGGUGUCAGCCGCCGCGGUAAUACCAGCUCUCCGAGUGGUGUGGAUGUUUACUGGGCCUAAAGCAUCCGUAGCUGGCUGGGCAAGUCCCCUGUUAAAUCCACCGAUUUAAUCGUUGGUUUGCGGGGGAUACUGUUCGGCUAGGGGACGGGAGAGGCCGACGGUAUUUUCGGGGUAGGGGUGAAAUCCUAUAAUCCCGGGAAGACCACCAGUGGCGAAGGCUGUCGGCUAGAACGCGCCCGACGGUGAGGGAUGAAAGCUGGGGGAGCGAACCGGAUUAG